rnacentral:rRNA from 1 species
AUUGAACGCUGGCGGCAGGCCUAACACAUGCAAGUCGAGCGAGCGGCGGACGGGUGAGUAAUGUAUGGGGACGGCCCGAUAGAGGGGGAUAACUACUGGAAAGGGUGGCUAAUACCGCAUACUAGCGGAUAACCCAUAUGGGAUUAGCUAGUAGGUGGGGUAAAGGCUCACCUAGGCGACGAUCUAUAGCUGGUCUGAGAGGAUGAUCAUCCACACUGAGACUGAAACACUGCCCAGACUCCGACGGAGGCAGCAGAUGUGAAUAUUGCACAAUUGGCGCAAGCCUGAUGCAGCCAUGCCGCUUGUAUGAAGAAGUCCUUAGGGUUGUAAAGUACUUUCAGCGGUGAGGCGUGACCCGCAGAAGAAGCACCGGCUAACUCCGUGCCAGCAGCCGCGGUAAUAC